UUACAGUGGCAUUGGAUGGUCAAUAUUAGGUAAACUGCCUGGUUUGGGAGCAUGUUUGGCUGCCUGGAUGAUGCUGCUGCUGCUGUCAAUUUACUCUUGAUCGAUUUCUGCCUUGACAAUCUGGCUUGGUGGCCUUGCGUGCAUCUUCUCCACCAGCGUUCUCUUCCAAAUCCUGGAGCUCCAGGCCUAUUUUUUUGGAGUGUGAAGCCGUGAAGCCAAGUGUGAAGCUGUGAAGCCAAGUGUGAAGCAGUACUUAGCAAAGAGUUUUUGGUUCUGUACUUAGCAAAGAGUUUUUGGUUCUGAAGUGUGAAGCCAAGUGUAAAUUGUAAUAUUGUAAAAGUCUAAUGUAGUGUUAAUGAAUUAUAUCUGUU